rnacentral:rRNA from 1 species
UACGGAGGGUGCAAGCGUUAUCCGGAUUUACUGGGUUUAAAGGGUGCGCAGGCGGAUAUGUAAGUCAGUGGUGAAAUCUCUAGGCUUAACCUGGAAAUUGCCGUUGAUACUAUAUAUCUUGAAUGCUGUGGAGGUAAGCGGAAUAUGUCAUGUAGCGGUGAAAUGCUUAGAUAUGACAUAGAACACCUGUUGCGAAGGCAGCUUACUACGCAGAUAUUGACGCUCAUGCACGAAAGCGUGGGGAUCAAACAGG